rnacentral:rRNA from 1 species
UACGAAGGGGACUAGCGUUGUUCGGAAUUACUGGGCGUAAAGCGCACGUAGGCGGACUCUUAAGUCGGUGGUGAAAUCCUGGAGCUCAACUCCAGAACUGCCUUCGAUACUGAGAGUCUCGAGUCCGGGAGAGGUGAGUGGAACUGCGAGUGUAGAGGUGAAAUUCGUAGAUAUUCGCAAGAACACCAGUGGCGAAGGCGGCUCACUGGCCCGGUACUGACGCUGAGGUGCGAAAGCGUGGGGAGCAAACAGG